rnacentral:rRNA from 1 species
GAUGAACGCUGGCGGCGUGCCUAAUACAUGCAAGUCGAGCGAACAGACGAGGAGCUUGCUCCUCUGACGUUAGCGGCGGACGGGUGAGUAACACGUGGAUAACCUACCUAUAAGACUGGGAUAACUUCGGGAAACCGGAGCUAAUACCGGAUAAUAUAUUGAACCGCAUGGUUCAAUAGUGAAAGACGGUUUUGCUGUCACUUAUAGAUGGAUCCGCGCCGCAUUAGCUAGUUGGUAAGGUAACGGCUUACCAAGGCAACGAUGCGUAGCCGACCUGAGAGGGUGAUCGGCCACACUGGAACUGAGACACGGUCCAGACUCCUACGGGAGGCAGCAGUAAGGAAUCUUCCGCAAUGGGCGAAAGCCUGACGGAGCAACGCCGCGUGAGUGAUGAAGGUCUUCGGAUCGUAAAACUCUGUUAUUAGGGAAGAACAAAUGUGUAAGUAACUAUGCACGCCUUGACGGUACCUAAUCAGAAAGCCACGGCUAACUACGUG